rnacentral:rRNA from 1 species
AGGAUAGGUGUGAGAACAUGAAUCAGCUACGCCAGUAGUUGUGGAGUCGUAAUUGAAAUACCACCCUAGAAUAUUUGAAGUUCUAACUCAGUAGAGAUUGGAGGACAGUGUAUGGUGGGUAGUUUGACUGGGGCGGUCUCCUCCUAAAGAGUACAGGAGGAGUACGAAGGUGCACUCGUUACGGUCGGAAAUCGUGCCAAGAGUAUACAGGCAAAAGUGCGCUUGACUG